rnacentral:rRNA from 1 species
UUGGAGGGCAAGUCUGGUGCCAGCAGCCGCGGUAAUUCCAGCUCCAAUAGCGUAUAUUAAAGUUGUUGCAGUUAAAAAGCUCGUAGUUGAAUUUCGGGGUCAGUAGGUCGGUCGUGCCACUGGUAUGAACUGGUUUUACUGAUUCCUCCCUCUUGAAGAACUGUAAUGCCAUUAAUUUGGUGUUGCAGGGAAUCAGGACUGUUACUUUGAAAAAAUUAGAGUGUUUAAAGCAGGCUUUAGCUUGAAUACAUUAGCAUGGAAUAAUGAAAUAGGACGUUUGAUCCUAUUUUGUUGGUUUCUAGGAUUGACGCAAUGAUUAAUAGGGAUAGUUGGGGGCAUUAGUAUUCAAUUGUCAGAGGUGAAAUUCUUGGAUUUAUUGAAGACUAACUACUGCGAAAGCAUUUGCCAAGGAUGUUUUCAUUAAUCAAGAACGAAAGUUAGGGGAUCGAAGACGAUCAGAUACCGUCGUAGUCUUAACCAUAAACUAUGCCGACUAGGGAUCGGAUGAUGUUAAUUUUUUAAUGACUCAUUCGGCGCCUUACGGGAAAC